GACGAACGCUGGCGGCGUGCUUAACACAUGCAAGUCGAACGCUGAAGCUUGGUGCUUGCACUGGGUGGAUGAGUGGCGAACGGGUGAGUAAUACGUGAGUAACCUGCCCUUGACUCUGGGAUAAGCCUGGGAAACUGGGUCUAAUACUGGAUACGACAUGUCACCGCAUGGUGGUGUGUGGAAAGGGUUUUACUGGUUUUGGAUGGGCUCACGGCCUAUCAGCUUGUUGGUGGGGUAAUGGCUCACCAAGGCGACGACGGGUAGCCGGCCUGAGAGGGUGACCGGCCACACUGGGACUGAGACACGGCCCAGACUCCUACGGGAGGCAGCAGUGGGGAAUAUUGCACAAUGGGCGGAAGCCUGAUGCAGCGACGCCGCGUGAGGGAUGACGGCCUUCGGGUUGUAAACCUCUUUCAGCACGGAAGAAGCGAAAGUGACGGUACGUGCAGAAGAAGCGCCGGCUAACUACG
rnacentral:rRNA from 1 species